ACUAUCUUAUCAUUCUUCUUUCUAAAAAAAAAAAAAAUACUCUUUCUCUAACUCUCUCACUCUCUCACCCUAACUCUCUCUCUCUAUACUUUUCAUCUUCUUCUUCUCAAGAGAGAAGAUCUUGAGAAGAAGAGCCGCCGCCUCCCUCUCUAACUCCUCUCCCUAGCACACCACCAUCUUCGUCUCCACCACGACGGCAACAACACGAGAGACCACCGCUGUCCAGCAGCUCCUCGACAGCUGCAACGGCGGACAACAACUUCUCUGCUGCAACAACACGUAUGACGAGCACCUCUCCUCUCACGUCACCAUGGCGAACUGCGUCAGCCACCAGCGAAGCAGCAGACCCCGAGGAAGCACAUUUCACCUUAAUUGAAAUCGAUUCGGUUGUAAUAUUCAAGAGUUCACAAGACGGAUCCGUAAUAGAUCCGUCCGAGUAAGUUUUCUAAUCACUAUUUUUUAUCUUUUGAUUACUUAUUCUCUCUAGGAACUAGUUCUAAGACAUGUCGUUUGGUGAUUCAAUGUAACCAUUUUUUUAAAUAUUUUUUUUAGAUUAACUUGUUUGUUUGAUAUGCUGUUAAUAUAUUUAGCCUUUGUUGAAAACACCAUUGCAGGUUGUUUAUGCCUAAAUACCUAUUUAGAGCUUUAAUACUUUUCUGUUUGGUUGAAUAUAAUAUGCCCCUUUGUGAUUUGUUGUUGAUUCUUCUUUGAAUUUUUAACAAUAAUAAGGGUUGAUUCUUGACUUUAUACGAUUUGAUUGAUAAUUGAUUUUCUUUAAUUUUGAGGGCACCCUUAACGAUUUCUCUAAUAAAAAAAAAGAUUUUUUUUUGAAUAAUUCUCUUUGUUAAUGAAGCCUUGAUUUAGUCUUAUUUUAAAUAAGUUCAAUUUAUUUUAGUCACUGAUUCAUAUUUUAUAUAGAUAGUUAUUUAAUUAAUUAUUUUUUCUUCUUUCUUGUUCUUUUCUUACUCUCCUAGAUUUUACUUAUUAUUGUUAUGGCAAAUUUUUGACUUGCUUCGUUCAAAUGGUUUCCUUCUUUAUUAUUAUUUUAUUUUUAUUUGAUUGAUUAUGCAUAUAUAUUAGUAGUUAAUUUAGAUAUUUUUAUUAAUUACUUGCCUAAUUUGGUAUUACCGUUAUAUCAUAAAUGAUAUGCUAGCACACUAAUUAUUGUGUUUCCUUAAAACCCUUUCUUUUAAGCUUAAUUUUUGUAAAAUAUUUUCCAAGUACUGAUUAUUGAGUUGUCUUCCUCGCUCCCUUUCACAUAAUUUAUGAGCUUUUUAUAUUUAUUUAUUCUUUUUGGUUUUUUUUUUUGGUUGUGAAUAUUAUUGUUCUAAGUGUUGUGAUCUUGACGGACAACUUUGACAUUCUUAAGCUCUAUACACUAUAUUAACAUCACAAGUGAACAAACAUUUCAUACCUCUGGAUUACUAAAGUUAUAAUAUUUUAUAUUUUGUUUAGAUCCAUACUUUGAUUUUGUUUACUUGCAAAAUCUGAAAUAUUAUACACUGUUGGAAGUUUGAAUUUUUUUUUUUAUAUACUUGAAUACUUAUUCUAAUUAAAUUGCAUAGUUUUUAUCAAUUAUUGAUGGUGGGUCCUUUGGCAUAACUUUUGACUUUUUUUUUGAAACAUCUUUUGAAUAAAGUUUUGAUCAAAUCUAAAAAGAAGAUGUGGUUUUGAUUUUUGUGGAGAAAAUUUUGAAAAUCUUGUCAUAUUUUGAAAUGAAAUACACCAUCUUUGACUUAUUUGUAAAAUGUUUGAAAUUCAAAAUCUAGCUAGUGAUUUUGUUGAUUUCAUUAUCUUUUACCCAUGGGUGUAUCACUAUUAAAAAAAACACAAACAGAGAGAAAGAGAACAACACAAAACAAAAAACACAAAGAGUAGAGAAAGGAAAAGAACAAAAAAUAUAUUCUACUUUAUAUUUCUUUACACACCUAAAACGAAAACAAAAGACAGUAAGAAAAAUUUCUUACAUACUUUAUUAUUGUUUUGCUUGUUCUCAACAUCACAAGUUAGAUUCUAUUUGCCUAUUCUUCCUAACUAAAGUAUCCAGGGCUUGAACUUCAAAGUUCAAGACACGAGGAGUGCGAAAGUUUAAAAUGUCAUUAUUUCGUUUACAUUUUUUGUAUUAUUUAUCCACUUACCUUUUAUUUUAGUUUGUAAUAAU